UUCCGAGAAGAAACGCUUUGAUCCGCUCACUUCCUCUUUCAACAAGCGUCCACUGAAUGGUCCCUGGGAACAAGCACUUAGAUCUUUCUCAGCAAAGGCGGGCAGUGCUUUGACCCUGGGGGUCAGUCUGGCCGCAGUGUGUUCUAGAACUGUGAACACCUCAGCAGGUAAGACCUCUGCUCAGUGGAGCCCAGACGCACAGUGCUGAGAGCCGGCGCGCACGGUGUCGCCAAAGCACCCCCACCUUCACUUUUCAGACGCGAGAGGCGCCUGCCCGCAGCCGCGGGACUGGAGUGGCAGCUGGGAUCCAACCACGGGGAGGAGGCAAUGCCCAGGCGACAGGAAGAUUAAUUGUUGAGAGCACCCACUGAGGAAAGAGCGCCUCUGUGGUACUGAGCCGGGUGCCGUGGAGAAACUGGGUCCACUCGACACACUUCACACUCAUCCCUCAGCACUCAGCCUGCAGCCAGGGCCCUUGGGGAUCUCUGGGGAGCGUCCUGCGUGGGGCAGGCUCCCUGACUGCCAGGUGCUGCGCGGGGCUGGCAGCCUGGCCCGGAGACCCUCACCAGCAGGGGCGGAGCUCACGGUGUUGCACUUUGCCGAUACUGCAUUUUUAAAAAACUGCAGCUUUGUGGCAACUCUGCUGAGCGUCUAUUGGCACCAUUUCCCCAAAAGCAUCUGCUCACUUUGGGUCACAUUUUGGUCAAUCUCACAUGUCAAACUUUUCCAUUACUGUCACUUGUUACGGUGAGGUGUGACCGGGGCUUUGAGGGGGGUGUGGUUAACUGCUUUGGACACCACAAGCUGUGUGCAUGUGAGACCGUGACCUUGUGGCCAGGUGCGCUCUGACCGCCCCCGUGACUGGCCACGAGCCCCCCCUCCCGUCCUCGGGCCUCCCUCUUCCCUGAGACGCGAUGUGGAAAUGAGGCCAAUCCACAAGCCUGCAGUGGCCUCGCCAGGCUCCCAGGGAAGGGAGAGUCGCGUGUCUCUCACUUUCCAUCAAAAACCAGACGAGACCGAGCUUCGUGCAGAAGCGGAGACAGAAGUCCGUCGUGCCAAACGGGCAUCUGAGUCGUGAGAGGAAGGCGGCCUUCUCGAAGGGAGUGGAAGCACGGAUCCAGGGAGCACCCAAGGGAGGAGAGCGCCAAACAGCCUCCCUGCUGCCGUGGAGAAGGCUGCGCUGCUCCGGACAGAAGAUGAGAGCAGCCACACGCCCCUAAGCCGAGGCCUCGACCGGAGCAGGGCCCGCACUCUCUCCGAUUCUGCAGAGGCUGCCGCAGGCGAGGGAGCUGCAGGAGGAAAUGAGCAGACACCCACCCGCAGAGGCCAGGUCACGAGGCCGAAGCACAGAGGCCGCCUCCACAGCUCCGAAGCGCGCGGCGAGGGGCACGAGCCGAGGGAGAAGCUGCAGCUCGGAUCAUCCAGGAAGGUGGCCACGCGGACAGAUGUCCAGGGGCCACCAGACAGCCUCCUGGUGUCAGGAGAUGCCAGCUAGGACUUCGAGGGCUGGAGGGGGACGUCCGCGCCGGGCGUCAAAGCUUCGGAGGCCAGGCCGACUCUGCUGGGGGCUCAUGCGGCUGGUGACUUUCAGGUGAAGCCAGGGCUCGUUGGCGAUUUCAUGUGUCCCAGUGUCCUUCAGGAGGACGCUAAAGCCACUCGGCCUGUGCUCUGGACGUGGAACAAAGCCUGGAUGACGGCAUGUCUGCUGACAACACGUUUUACUGAGUGNUUUUUUUUUUUUUUUUUUUUUUUUUUGCUUUUUUGCACCUGUGACAUAUGGAGGUUGCCAGGCUAGGGGUAGAGNCCAGGGCUCGGGUUGCACAGCCAGAGCAACUCAGGGUCUGAGCCCCAUCUGUGACCUACGCCACGGCUCAGGGCAACGCCAGAUCCCUGACCCACUAAGUGAGGCCACGGAUGAAACCCGCAACCUCAUGGAUACUGGCUAGAUUCGUUUCUGCUGCACCACAAUGAGAACUCCCCCACUGAAUACUUUAACCCCACUGUUGAGACCUGAAAGUCAGAAAAAAGAUUCUUUUCAAAUUAUUACUGUUCGCCUGGUCCCCCAAGAGCUCUGAUGGAGACGCGCGCUGGGGUUAGACUUCUUUAGCGUCUGCUAACACAGCAGCCACGCUGCAGCCUGUGGGUCGAGGAGUCACUCUGCCUUUGAAGUCUUGCUAUUUACGAAACACAUUUCGGAGUUCCUGUCAUGGCUCAGUGGUGAUCGAAUCCGACCAGGAACCAAGAGGUUGCGGGUUUGAUCCCUGGCCUCACUCAGUGGGUUAAGGAUCCGGCGUUGCUGUGAGCUGUGGG
rnacentral:lncRNA from 1 species